GACGAACGCUGGCGGCGUGCUUAACACAUGCAAGUCGAACGGACAGACAGAGAGCUUGCUCUCAUGAAGUUAGUGGCGAACGGGUGAGUAACGCGUAAUCAACCUGCCCUUCAGAGGGGGAUAACAACGGGAAACCGUUGCUAAUACCGCGUACGAUUCAUGAACGGCAUCGUUUAUGAAUGAAAGGUGGCCUCUAUGUAUAAGCUAUCGCUGAAGGAGGGGAUUGCGUCUGAUUAGCUAGGUGGAGGGGUAACGGCCCACCAAGGCAAUGAUCAGUAGCCGGUCUGAGAGGAUGAACGGCCACAUUGGGACUGAGACACGGCCCAAACUCCUACGGGAGGCAGCAGUGGGGAAUCUUCCGCAAUGGACGAAAGUCUGACGGAGCAACGCCGCGUGAGUGAUGAAGGUCUUCGGAUUGUAAAGCUCUGUUAAUCGGGACGAAAGAGUUCUGCGUGAAUAAUGCAGAAAAGUGACGGUACCGGAAUAGAAAGCCGCGGCUAACUACGUGCCAGCCGCCGCCGUAA
rnacentral:rRNA from 1 species